rnacentral:rRNA from 1 species
GGGGAUAGCCUUUCGAAAGAAAGAUUAAUACCCGAUGUCAUAGUCCUACCGCAUGAUGGGAUUAUUAAAGAAUUUCGGUAUGGGAUGGGGAUGCGUUCCAUUAGUUAGUUGGCGGGGUAACGGCCCACCAAGACAACGAUGGAUAGGGGUUCUGAGAGGAAGGUCCCCCACAUUGGAACUGAGACACGGUCCAAACUCCUACGGGAGGCAGCAGUGAGGAAUAUUGGUCAAUGGACGAGAGUCUGAACCAGCCAAGUAGCGUGAAGGAUGACUGCCCUAUGGGUUGUAAACUUCUUUUAUAUGGGAAUAAAACGUUCCACGUGUGGGAUUUUGUAUGUACCAUAUGAAUAAGGAUCGGCUAACUCCGUGCCAGCAGCCGCGGUAAUACGGAGGAUCCGAGCGUUAUCCGGAUUUAUUGGGUUUAAAGGGAGCGUAGGUGGAUUGUUAAGUCAGUUGUGAAAGUUUGCGGCUCAACCGUAAAAUUGCAGUUGAAACUGGCAGUCUUGAGUACAGUAGAGGUGGGCGGAAUUCGUGGUGUAGCGGUGAAAUGCUUAGAUAUCACGAAGAACUCCGAUUGCGAAGGCAGCUCACUGGACUGCAACUGACACUGAGGCUCGAAAGUGUGGGUAUCAAACAGGAUUAGAUACCCUGGUAGUCCACACAGUAAACG